UUUCCGGGUUGAUCCCGCCAGACCUACUGCUAUCGGGGUGGGACUAAGACAUGCGAGUCGAGCGUCUCCAGCUAUGGUGAGACGCGGCAGACGGCUCAGUAACACGUGGCUAACAUACCCUCAGGACAGGGACAAACCCGGGAAACUGGGGCUAAUACCCGAUAGGCGAGGGCGCCUGGAAUGGUUCUUCACCCAAAGGGCUUUGGAAGCAUGCUUUUCAAAGUCGCCUGGGGAUGGGGCCGCGUCCGAUCAGGUUGUUGGUGAGGUAACGGCUCACCAAGCCUAUAACCGGUACGGGCCGUGAGAGCGGUAGCCCGGAGAUGGGCACUGAGACAAGGGCCCAGGCCCUACGGGGCGCAGCAGUCGCGAAAACUCCGCAAUGCACGAAAGUGUGACGGGGCUACCCCGAGUGCCGUCCGCUGAGGAUGGCUUUUCCUCGGUGUAACUAGCCGGGGGAAUAAGGAGAGGGCAAGACUGGUGUCAGCCGCCGCGGUAAUACCAGCUCUCCGAGUGGUAGGGAUGAUUAUUGGGCUUAAAGCGUCCGUAGCCGGCUUAGCAAGUCUCCUGUUAAAUUCAGCGACCUAAUCGUUGAGCCGCGGGAGAUACUACUAGGCUAGGAGGCGGGAGAGGCCGACGGUACUUCCGGGGUAGGGGUGAAAUCCUAUAAUCCCGGGCGGACCACCAGUGGCGAAGGCGGUCGGCUAGUACGCGCUCGACGGUGAGGGACGAAAGCUGGGGGAGCGAACCGGAUUAGAUACCCGGGUAGUCCCAGCCGUAAACGAUGCGGGCUAGGUGUUGGGGCGGCUACGUGCCGCUUCGGUGCCGCAGGGAAGCCAUUAAGCCCGCCGCCUGGGAAGUACGGCCGCAAGGCUGAAACUUAAAGGAAUUGGCGGGGGAGCACUACAAGGCGUGAAGCUUGCGGUUCAAUUGGAUUCAACGCCGGG
rnacentral:rRNA from 1 species